rnacentral:rRNA from 1 species
GACGAACGCUGGCGGCGUGCUUAACACAUGCAAGUCGAACGGAAAGGCCCUGCUUUUGUGGGGUGCUCGAGUGGCGAACGGGUGAGUAACACGUGAGUAACCUGCCCUUGACUUUGGGAUAACUUCAGGAAACUGGGGCUAAUACCGGAUAGGAGCUCCUGCUGCAUGGUGGGGGUUGGAAAGUUUCGGCGGUUGGGGAUGGACUCGCGGCUUAUCAGCUUGUUGGUGGGGUAGUGGCUUACCAAGGCUUUGACGGGUAGCCGGCCUGAGAGGGUGACCGGCCACAUUGGGACUGAUAUACGGCCCAGACUCCUACGGGAGGCAGCAGUGGGGAAUAUUGCACAAUGGGCGGAAGCCUGAUGCAGCAACGCCGCGUGCGGGAUGACGGCCUUCGGGUUGUAAACCGCUUUCGCCUGUGACGAAGCGUGAGUGACGGUAAUGGGUAAAGAAGCACCGGCUAACUACGU